GCCCUCCCAGAAUAGUUCAGUUGGUAGAGCACGAAACUCUUAAUCUCAGGGACAUGGGUUCGAGCUCCACGUUGGGCA